GAACUCCAUUGGAGUCUUCUCUCCCAUGCCUACUUUUUCAAUUGAAUCGCUCAACAUCAUAAAUCACGAUAUGAUGACUGUUAGUUAUCAUGAUCCUGCAAUUUCUUCUUUGGAUGCCAUAAUUCGGGCGUAUAUUGAGCAGAGCUCAGUUGCAGUUGUUGAUGAAGACAACCGAUUGAUUGGUGAAAUCUCUCCCUUCACUCUAGCCUACUGUGAUGAGACCGUUGCAGCAGCAAUCGCGACACUUUCAGCUGGUGAUCUCAUGACUUACAUCGACUACGGUGG
rnacentral:misc_RNA from 1 species